UGGGGAAUUUUGCACAAUGGGCGCAAGCCUGAUGCAGCGACGCCGCGUGAGGGAUGAAGGCCUUCGGGUUGUAAACCUUUUUCGCUCAUGGUCAAGCCGCAGCUUUGGGUUGUGGUGAGGGUAGCGGGUAAAGAAGCGCCGGCUAACUACGUGCCAGCAGCCGCGGUAAUACGUAGGGCGCGAGCGUUGUCCGGAAUUAUUGGGCGUAAAGGGCUUGUAGGCGGUUGGCCGCGUCUGCCGUGAAAUCCUCUGGCUUAACUGGGGGCGUGCGGUGGGUACGGGUUGACUUGAGUGCGGUAGGGGAGACUGGAAUUCCUGGUGUAGCGGUGGAAUGCGCAGAUAUCAGGAGGAACACCGGUGGCGAAGGCGGGUCUCUGGGCCGUUACUGACGCUGAGGAGCGAAAGCGUGGGGAGCGAACAGG
rnacentral:rRNA from 2 species